UCACGUCGUGAUACGUGAUGCCCCGUUC
rnacentral:sRNA from 1 species